UUUGGGGAAGGAACAGUCGAGAGGACAAGGCACUUAAACUCGUGGCUGAAGUGAAGGCAGCGAAUGGGGAAAACACUACUUGCUGUCCUCCAAAAACGGAACUGCAACAGUCCAGUGGAGGGCCAUCAUGUCACACAGAGGUGGAUAUUCUCCUGUUCCUCUUCCCUUAUGCAUGGUCCUGAGGAAGGAGAUGCUGGGCUGCGCGACGUGUCCUAUGCUACCCCAGAUUUGCAGUUCACUAUCUGAAUAAUGAUGGUUUGUUUGCCCUCAUAGCACUGAGAAGACACAAUAGCUUAAAAGGUCUAGUUUUGCAAAGAUGUAAUUAAAACAGCCAAACUUCACAUAGGCACUCUCUAAAUCAGGUUUGCACUGAUUGGUGUUGUUUUCACAGCACUGUAGAUAUUCGAUGUUGUAUAGCUAUAAACAACACAAGGCAUGUAAUAUAGGAGAGUUAGAAAUGCUACUUGGAGAAGCCUGACUGCCUCAGUGGUAGUUCACAAUGGUUUGAACUGUUGUCUUCAGAGAAUAAUGCAACAAAAUCUACACAGAGCUUAGCUGCAAGAGUGCUUUAUUGCCAGGCCAAUCAUUGCUUUUCCUUGGACUCUGCCCUAGGGACCAGGGUUACCACCAAUACCUUUUAUAAUUUCUUUUUACAGAGGAUGAUGUAACAUCUUUUUGACUAAAAUGAUGCAAACGAAUAAACAAAUUUUGCUCUGAUCCAGUUUAAUUUCAGGAGCUAAACUGAAAAACAAGACCAAAUGUGAUUACCUUGGAUUACUUUGCCCAUUCGGUCUGAGUGCAAGCCGCAGUGUUAAAGGGAGAGCCACUUUGCAGAGUAUGUACCCAGUAGUGCCUAAAAUACUGUGGGCCUGCUGAGCUGGAAUUAUAAUUAGUUUAACACUUUUCUUUUUUGUCUUUCCCAAAAGAAUACUAAAAGUGGGUUUUAAUUUACCCUCAAUUAGCAUUUCCAUGGGUUUCAUCCUGUAAGCUGUUAACAUCUCAACAAGCUGCGGUCACUUGGUAGAAAUUACACACAUCUAAGUCUUUCUGCUGUAUUGUAGUAAGCUGCUUUGUAAAAGCUAAGAGAAAUAAACACUCGUUCAAUUUGCCUUGAUUGCCGUGUUGGCGAACAUUACUUCUGCUUCUCUGAAAGUGUUCCUGUAUGAGACCAGUGUCAGCUGUGCCUCGUGCUGGACCCAAGUGGGUUGCCUUUGGUCAGCGUACAAGUGCAAAUUCUGCUUUCCACAUGCACGAUGACACUGCAGGACACAUUUCUGGGUUCUGCAGCUGACCAGUUUGCAAGCAGGAACAUCUUUUUCCUCAGGAAGGUAAAUUUCUGCACAGUCAGCCGAAUGCAGCAAGUAGUGACUGUGACAGUAAUGGUUUUUCUGCGGUCAUUUUAAUACUUCAUUUCCCCAGAUCUUUGCUGGUUACCCAAAAUACAUAUAAUAUGAAAACACACACGUAUUAUUAACUCUUUUCUUGGUUACAUGUUCCCGUGGCAGAACAAACUUGCCCAAUUCCAAGUGUGCAUUUUCUAAUGUACUUCUGCCUCCAACAGGGCCCUCCUCCCCAUGCUUUCCUCAGCUGGCCAAGCCCUGCUCAUGACUUUCAACAGGUUCAGUUCUCUCUGUGAGAUCAUGAGGCUCAGGAACAAUUCCUGCUAAAGAAGCCUCUCUUACAGGUCUUGCCAUCACUUUAAUUCCAGCAACACUGAGUUAUGCUGCCAUGAGAUGAGUCAAAAUGCCAUUUGCUUGGAUAAUAUUCAGUGGCAGAGAGAAGAAAAAAAACCUAUAAUCUGAUUGUGUGGGUUUCACAGGUUUUGAUGAGUGAUUUGCAAGCCAUAGGAGAGCUGCAGAACUCUUCUGCAGGUUCCCAAAAGCUGAAACAUGCACACUGGAUUGAAGCCCAUAGGUGAGAGCAGAGCUCUGCUGCCCGAGUGUGGAGUGCCAUGCUUUUUGGGGCCCUUCUAGUCUAGUGGAAGUGAAGAGGCAGUUUCUCUUCCAGCUCAGGCUUCCCUUAGUCCCACCCAGGAGAGCUAGUUCUGCUGACAAAAGGUGUUCUUCAUCAAGAACAUCCUGCAUGUUUCUCUGAACCAAAGACUUGACGCAUGGCUGAAGUCCAUCGGGGGUGUGAAACUCUCCCUUUGUUUGUCUUUUGGUGCAACUGCACAGCUUUCACCGUUGCAUAAAGCAAAUGGCUAUAAGAGUUUGAAUGUGUAAAGCUGCUCAGAAUGACUUCUUACAGGGUGGAAAAUACAGAAAACCCAGCUAUUUCCUGGGUGGAAGGAAAUAGUGUUAUAAUGAAUCUAACGAUCAGUCCCUAUUCUGGUCCAAAAGGAAAUAAAAGGAAAUUCAGAGAACAGAGCAAUAGACACAGUAAGCAUUUUUAUUGGUAAAAAUUUCCAGUUAGUGCUCUUGGCAGCUGCUAAUUGCCUUAAGUCUCGGUGCCAGAGAACUGAGAUUUCAUCCAUAUUUAUAUCUUGGCUAAUGUAACUCUAGAAACUCCCAAUAGCCAACUGAUUGCCUAAUUCUUUCUUGAAACCUGCUGAGCUCGUGGUCUUUAGGAUGCCUUCUGACAGACUCUAACCACAUGUAUAAACGCAUGUACAAACUCUAAACACAUGCGUGUGUUCUUACACAAUGUGCAUGUGUUUCCCUUGUAUUUGUUGGAUGUCUGUUUUCUUUGAACAUCCCUUGUUCUUGCAUUACAGAUGCAAGGGAUAAAUAAAACACCAACUUGUCUCCUCUGAGUCAUUCAAUGCUUUGCAUCCCUCCCAGUGAAUUCUUGGACCCGAUACUGUGUAUGUGUUUAUUGUAGCCGUGCAGUGUGUGUUGGUUAUGAGAUGUGGCCACUGUCCAUUAAUUCCUUCGGCAGUGUUCUCUCAUGUGGAAGAGACAGAUGAUGUGGAACAUAUUACUUUAGAAUUCUUUCAGAACAGCAUUUCGCUUAAUUAUGAACUAGGCAAGGGGGUGUACAGCGAACAAAGGCAAAACACGUGCUACAGGGAGGGAUGUUAGGUGGGAUAAGGAAAGGAAUGCAGCCUUAUCUCAUGCCACUCCAAGCACUCGUGCUCACUUAUUGGUUUCAAACUGUGCCACUACAGCAAGGAAUAAAAUCUGCAAGUCACAGUAACUCAGCAAUUGGGAUGGAGAAUAUUAUAAUAACUUCUUGGAACUGGUUGUAAUAUCCCCUCCUAUUCUAGUUGUAAUAUCAGAAUAAUCUACGGCUAGUUUCUUGGAACUGUAAUAUCUCCUUCUAUUCUAAUUGUAAUAUCAGAACUUUCUAUGCUCAGUUUCUUAGAAUCAAUGGUAAUAUCCUCUCAUAUUCUUACGCAUGUAUAAUUUGUCUCUACGCUUAAAUGGUCCCUUUAUGGUGUGCAGGUUAGGAGAAGCUACUCCCUCUGCACCCAGCACAUGUGCACAGCGCUGUAAUUACAAAUAUAUUUGCUUUAUAACCACUUCGUGGUUAUGGAGUUUGAUUUUCCACAAGUCGGUAUUGGUUGCAAGAUAUAAAAACAUCGGUGCUAUCCAGGUGAUUUCUUUCUUAACCUGACCUGUCUCCACACCACACCAGAAUCUGGUUGUCUGGAAUGGUAGUUCUAAGCAGGUAGCUGUCACCUUGGCUUUUUUGUUGGUUCACCUAGAAACAGAAUGUUUGAUGCUGGGUGGAGCUGACCAGGAUUAAUGUACAUAUAGGAUUUUUGGAGCGCUGGAGAACAUGUUCGCUUGUUUUGCUUUAUUUUUCUUUUUCCAGCCUCUCAGUUGCACCUGUGAAAAAAGUAGCUUCGUUCAGCCAAGUGUGAUAUCGGUUCUCCUUAGUGGGUAGGGAGAUGACCAGGCAGAGUGACAAGGUGGGCUGCUAGAGAGAUCACACUCUAAAUUCCUGCUUCCUGCAAAGGAAGAGCUGAGGAGAGAAGGAAGAAACUACAGAAAGAGGUUAAAGGGAAAUCUGGAUUAGACAUUAAGACAUUGAUUACGUAUUGGUUUGAAGAAGGCUUGAAGGUGAGAAAGUGCUGGCUAAGGGAGAAAGUAGUAUAUUGGUUUUGUGAUAAUGGAGUGUUGGAGGGUCAGACCUGUUUUUUCUCAUCAUUUGUUAGUAUGCUUGAUGGCUGUUUGUACAACCUAUAGAGAGCUGCCAAGCUCUGUCUUUUACAAAUUGGGUAUACUUGUGCAGUCCCUUCCCCAGUCCCUUCCCAGCAUCUCCAGGUGAAGCACAGAGCAUGCCGAGGGAUCAGGCAGGCCUGGUAAACCCGAGUGGGCACCUGCAUGAAUAGCUUGCAUCAAAGCUGCAUGCAUCUAUUCAGGGAAGGUGACAUUUCCUUCUCCUUUCUGUUGUUCCCAGGGAAGAAAUAACAGGUAAAAAGCACGGGGAGAUAGACUAAUGAAACAGCUCCAUCUAAGACUGUGAAGUUAGAGGUUGCAAGACCUGGCCGUGAUGGGUACAUUAAAGAUACCCAUUAGUCUCUUAGUAAGAGUUGCAUGCACAUUUCAGUCCUUGAUUGUACAUGCCUAAGUGGAAUCUGCAGGCAUUUGAGUCACUUCUGGUAAUCGCAUUGUCUUAUUCCUGCCUGUAAGCACAUUUGAAAACUUGAAGAGGUGCAGAGAAGCUCCAGCACUUGGUUUGAAGGAUUGAUAUUGGUGUUCCAUGUGGAAGCAUAGCUCCUGUUGAGGUUGGUACAGCUGAGGAGAAGGCACAACACUGUAGGUGUUUGCCUUAUGUUUGUCAUAGGGAAUGAAGGAGAAGAGUUGUAGGAGAAAGGUAUCCAUCCGUAUGGAUAAUGCUGAAACUGACUCAGGCUGUUUUGUCAUGGCACCAUCAUCUGUUACACGGCUUCAGGAGCCAGAGAACACACUCUGCCUUGCCUGUGUCCUGUGUCCUCUGUCUUUUGUCCAACAAGGAGGAAGCAGAGUGAGAAUGACGUGAGAGACCUAGAGGCAAGCUGCCCUAUGUGUAGGCAAUCUCUCAGAAUGAAGCUGUAUAACAUCUCCAAAUCAUCUCUUUGGUUUGCAAAAGACCAUGUUGUUCCUGUCCUGAUCUGAAGCCUCCCUGUCAUUGCAAAAGCAUUGCAUAAGAUUUACAGUAGGUUACAUGCAUUCUUCUGUUGACUGUGCACGUAUAAAUUUUCAAAGCCUGUAACAGGUCUGAACAUAGCUGGCAAAGUGGGUGGGCACUAUGAAGCAUUCUGAUCCAGUUUCUUUCCCCAAAAAAUGCAGGGAGUUGUUCUACAGUAACAGUGCAAUGUAGCAAGGAAAUGGACUUAAGCUAAUGCUUCACUUGGAUGUGGCCUCUAGUCUAACUAGUUCAGGAACAACAACAAUUAUGCUUGCACUCAGCAGGGCAGAUAAGCAGUACUUUCAAGAAAGAAAUCUGGACUUCGGACAUGUCAGACCCUGCUGGGAAGGGACAGGAAGGAAAUUCGUUUCUCUUUGGACUUCAUUGUCCAGUCCCAGUGUUAAAGACAGUGAGGAUGCUCUGACCGAAUUCCAAGGCUUUCAAGUAUAUCUUUUCUCUCUCUC